GUUGUUUGAAGCGUCUAUGAUGAACAGAGACCGAAUGAGAAGGAAGGGAAGUUGACGUCCCUGGGAUGUCGUCACUUCAUUAUUGCGUGCACAUGCGCGUUCAUGUGAGGCGAGACCUUUUUCAAAACGUGUUUCAAGACACAGGAGAGGUCGGGUUGAAAUAUUACUGAUGUUUCACGUUGAAAAUGGACCAAAAGAUUGAUGCUAAACAACGUUUGACAUGUUUGAACGAACGUAAAUAGAUUUUUUUUUAACUUUUCGUCGUGACUUUUCCCUCCCGCGCCCUACAUUUUGAGUAGCCCCGAAUGUGCUAACAACACGGAACAGCAUGGAGUUAUUUGGACAUAAAUUAUGAACUUCAUUGAAAAAAACAACAUUUGUUGUGGACCUGAGAUCCCUGGAAGUGCCUUCUGAUGAAGAUUAUUAAAAGGAUGCCGGUGGGCGGAGUUGGAAGGGUCGUCAGCUAAAUGGGAAACACCUGGGCUCGGCUGUGUCCCAGGAUAAAGGCACCUCUUCCACAGUCAUUGAGGAGACUCUCUCCACGCAGACACUUUGUUGAUUUUGGUUGUGUAGUUUUGUGGCUUUUUGGUUAUUUGCUUUGGCACUUUUCAACACCCUGCAUUAUUACAUUCAGGUAUGCAAAACACUCACACUACUGAUUACUGAUUACACAC
rnacentral:lncRNA from 1 species